UACGAAGGGGGCUAGCGUUGCUCGGAUUUACUGGGCGUAAAGGGCGCGUAGGCGGACAUUUAAGUCAGGGGUGAAAUCCCGGGGCUCAACCUCGGAACUGCCUUUGAUACUGGGGGUCUUGAGUGUGAGAGAGGUAUGUGGAACUCCGAGUGUAGAGGUGAAAUUCGUAGAUAUUCGGAAGAACACCAGUGGCGAAGGCGACAUACUGGCUCAUUACUGACGCUGAGGCGCGAAAGCGUGGGGAGCAAACAGG
rnacentral:rRNA from 1 species